rnacentral:rRNA from 1 species
CCUACGGGGGGCAGCAGUGGGGAAUAUUGGACAAUGGGCGAAAGCCUGAUCCAGCCAUGCCGCGUGUGUGAAGAAGGCCUUCGGGUUGUAAAGCACUUUCAGUGGGGAAGAAAGCCUUGGGGCUAAUACCCUCGAGGAAGGACAUCACCCACAGAAGAAGCACCGGCUAACUCCGUGCCAGCAGCCGCGGUAAUACGGAGGGUGCGAGCGUUAAUCGGAAUUACUGGGCGUAAAGCGCGCGUAGGCGGUCUGAUAAGCCGGUUGUGAAAGCCCCGGGCCCAACCUGGGAACGGCAUCCGGAACUGUCAGGAUAGUGUGCAGGAGAGGAAGGUAGAAUUCCCGGUGUAGCGGUGAAAUGCGUAGAGAACGGGAGGAAUACCAGUGGCGAAGGGGGCCUUCUGGACUGACACUGACGCUGGGGUGCGAAAGCGUGGGUAGCAAACAGGAUUAGAUACCCUGGUAGUC